GUGGUCCCUGGUGGAGGUAGAGCUACUGGAUGGCCGAUGGGCCCUGUGGGUUACUGACGUCAGCCAAACUCCGAAUGCCAUUAGGUGUAGCGUGGCAGUGAGACUGCGGGGGAUAAGCUUCGUAGUCGAGAGGGAAACAGCCCAGAUCAUCAGCUAAGGCCCCUAAGCGUGCGCUAAGUGGGAAAGGAUGUGGAGUCGCGGUGACAACCAGGAGGUUGGCUUAGAAGCAGCCAUCCUUGAAAGAGUGCGUAAUAGCUCACUGGUCAAGUGGUUCUGCGCCGACAAUGUAGCGGGGCUCAAGCGUACCGCCGAAGCUGUGGCAGCAACACGUGGUGCUGGCGCCAUUUAUUGGUUGUUGGUGUGUUGUUGGGUAGGGGAGCGUCCUGCAUGAGGUGAAGCCUGGAGGUGACUUCUGGUGGAUUGUGUGGGAGUGAGAAUGCAGGCAUGAGUAACGAAUCUGCGGUGGGAAUCCGCAGCGCCGAUUGACUAAGGGUUCCAGGGCUAGGUUUAUCCGCCCUGGGUUAGUCGGGUCCUAAGGCGAGGCCGACAGGCGUAGUCGAUGGACAACCAGUUGAUAUUCUGGUACCAGGUUGUGACCGCCCAUGCUGAGGUCAUUGUGCUAACCAAUUUGCCUGCACCUCUUCGUGGCUUUCGGGCCGCGAGCGUGUGUGUGGGUCUUGGGGUCCCGGUGAUGGUAGGCAAGCGUGUUAACAGGGGUGACGCAGACAGGUAACUGCAGUGCGCCGAUGGUUGUGCGUAUUUAAGGUUGUGGCCCGCCCUUUAGGUAAAUCCGGGGGGCACUAGGGUGAGGACUGAUGAGGGACACACGUGUGUGUGGACUUGUGGUGAUCCUAUGCUGCCGAGAAAAGCCUCGACGUGAGGGCAUGACCUGCCCGUACCCUAAACCGACUCAGGUGGUCAGGUAGAGUAUACCGAGGCGUUCGAGUGAAUCGUGGUUAAGGAACUCGGCAAAAUUCCUCCGUAACUUCGGGAUAAGGAGGACCCCGUGACUUCCCAAUGCUUUGCGUGUUGGUGGGGUUGUGGGGUCGCAGAGAAUAGGGAGAAGCGACUGUUUAUCAAAAACACAGGUGCGUGCGAAGCCGUAAGGCGAUGUAUACGCACUGACGCCUGCCCGGUGCUGGAAGGUUAAGAGGAACCGUUAACAUUCUUUAGGGGUGUGAAGCGGUGAAUUUAAGCCCCAGUAAACGGCGGUGGUAACUAUAACCAUCCUAAGGUAGCGAAAUUCCUUGUCGGGUAAGUUCCGACCUGCACGAAUGGCGUAACGACUUCCCCGCUGUCUCAACCAUGAGCUCGGCGAAAUUGCAGUACGAGUAAAGAUGCUCGUUUCGCGCAGAAGGACGGAAAGACCCCGGGACCUUUACUAUAGCUUGGUAUUGGUGUUCGCUUGGACUUGUGUAGGAUAGGUGGGAGACUGUGAAGCUGCCGCGCCAGCGGUGGUGGAGUCGUCGUUGAAAUACCAUUCUGGUUUAAGCGGUCACCUUAACCUUGGCCCGUGAUCCGGGUUGGGGACAGUGCCUGGUGGGUAGUUUAACUGGGGCGGUUGCCUCCUAAAAUGUAACGGAGGCGCUCAAAGGUUCCCUCAGCCUGGUUGGUAAUCAGGUGGCGAGUGCAAGUGUACAAGGGAGCUUGACUGUGAGACCGACGGGUCGAGCAGGUGCGAAAGCAGGAACUAGUGAUCCGGCCAUGGCACGUGGGUGCGUGGUCGCUCAACGGAUAAAAGGUACCCCGGGGAUAACAGGCUGAUCUUGCCCAAGAGUCCAUAUCGACGGCAUGGUUUGGCACCUCGAUGUCGGCUCGUCGCAUCCUGGGGCUGGAGUCGGUCCCAAGGGUUGGGCUGUUCGCCCAUUAAAGCGGUACGCGAGCUGGGUUCAGAACGUCGUGAGACAGUUCGGUCCCUAUCCUCUGUGCGCGCAGGAAAUUUGAGGAGGGCCGUCCCUAGUACGAGAGGACCGGGAUGGACGAACCUCUGGUGUGCCAGUUGUACCGCCAGGUGCAUGGCUGGUUAGCUACGUUCGGAAGGGAUAACCGCUGAAAGCAUCUAAGCGGGAAGCCUGCUCCAAGAUGAGGUUUCCACGCCCCACUUGU
rnacentral:rRNA from 1 species